CCCGGGUAAGCUCAGAUGGUAGAGCGCUCCACUGGAAAUGAAGAGGUGCCAGGUGCGAUACCUGGACCAGGGG
rnacentral:tRNA from 1 species